UUUUCCUACGGGAGGCAGCAGUGGGGGAUAUUGCACAAUGGGGGAAACCCUGAUGCAGCGAUGCCGCGUGAGUGAAGACGGCCUUCGGGUUGUAAAGCUCUGUCGCAGAGGACGAAAAUGACGGUACUCUGUAAGAAAGCUCCGGCUAACUACGUGCCAGCAGCCGCGGUAAUACGUAGGGAGCAAGCGUUGUCCGGAAUUACUGGGUGUAAAGGGAGCGUAGGCGGGAGGAUAAGUUGAAUGUGAAAUCUAUGGGCUCAACCUAUAGCUGCGUUCAAAACUGUUCUUCU
rnacentral:rRNA from 1 species